rnacentral:rRNA from 1 species
AGCGGCGGAUGGGUGAGUAACACGUGGGGAACCUGCCCCUAAGUCUGGGAUACCAUUUGGAAACAGGUGCUAAUACCGGAUAAUAAAGCAGAUCGCAUGAUCAGCUUUUGAAAGGCGGCGUAAGCUGUCGCUAAGGGAUGGCCCCGCGGUGCAUUAGCUAGUUGGUAAGGUAACGGCUUACCAAGGCGACGAUGCAUAGCCGAGUUGAGAGACUGAUCGGCCACAUUGGGACUGAGACACGGCCCAAACUCCUACGGGAGGCAGCAGUAGGGAAUCUUCCACAAUGGACGCAGGUCUGAUGGAGCAACGCCGCGUGAGUGAAGAAGGUUUUCGGAUCGUAAAGCUCUGUUGUUGGUGAAGAAGGAUAGAGGUAGUAACUGGCCUUUAUUUGACGGUAAUCAACCAGAAAGUCACGGCUAACUACGUGCCAGCAGCCGCGGUAAUACGUAGGUGACAAGCGUUGUCCGGAUUUAUUGGGCGUAAAGCGAGCGCAGGCGGAAAAAUAAGUCUAAUGUGAAAGCCCUCGGCUUAACCGAGGAACUGCAUCGGAAACUGUUUUUCUUGAGUGCAGAAGAGGAGAGUGGAACUCCAUGUGUAGCGGUGGAAUGCGUAGAUAUAUGGAAGAACACCAGUGGCGAAGGCGGCUCUCUGGUCUGCAACUGACGCUGAGGCUCGAAAGCAUGGGUAGCGAACAGGAUUAGAUACCCUGGUAGUCCAUGCCGUAAACGAUGAGUGCUAAGUGU